GAUGAACGCUGGCGGCGUGCUUAACACAUGCAAGUCGAACGAAACACCUUAUUUGAUUUUCUUCGGAACUGAAGAUUUGGUGAUUGAGUGGCGGACGGGUGAGUAACGCGUGGGUAACCUGCCCUGUACAGGGGGAUAACAGUCAGAAAUGACUGCUAAUACCGCAUAAGACCCCAGCACCGCAUGGUGCAGGGGUAAAAACUCCGGUGGUACAGGAUGGACCCGCGUCUGAUUAGCUGGUUGGUGAGGUAACGGCUCACGAAGGCGACGUUCAGUAGCCGGCUUGAGAGAGUGAACGGCCACAUUGAGAGUGAGACACGGCCCAAACUCCUACGGGAGGCAGCAGUGGGGAAUAUUGCACAAUGGGGGAAACCCUGAUGCAGCGACGCCGCGUGAAUGAAGAAAUAUUUCGGGAUGUAAAGCUCUAUCAGCAGGGAAGAAAAUGACGGUACCUGACUAGAAAGCCCCGGCUAACUACGUG
rnacentral:rRNA from 1 species